UUCUCAUCAUGACUAUGCAGUUUCCUAUACAGUCUUCACCCGACACUUCUCAUAGAGUCCCUUGGGAUUCGAGUAAUUUCAAUGGGAGCAUGGACAACAUUACCUCAGAUUUGCCAAAUGAGACCUGGAAAGGAUACUCGAAGGUAUUCAAUUUCUUCGGGCAGCCCAACGACGACCCAGAUCUUAUCCUCAUAAUGAUAUUCCUUCUCGGGGCAGCACUGCUGAUCGUAAGCACCCUCGUCUUCUUUACCUGGAGGUCCUUUGUAGGGACGGAGGGAAACAAACAAGAAUACACUCAUAAUCACGAC